rnacentral:lncRNA from 1 species
UGCGGGGCCAAGCAUCUGAAACCCUGCUAACACAGCCAGGCCUGCUGCGGGAGGAAUCACGGCCCCCUGGAGAUUCACUUUUAAUCCUCCCCACACCUUUCAUACCUGGGAUAUUUGCUACAAAUUCAAAAGAUGUGGCUUUUUUUCCCCUUUUUGAAAAGAUACAGUUAUGCAUUUUGUCUUUUUUUUUAAUUUAUUAUUAUUUUUUUUCAUAAGCAGCGCAGCUCAGCCAGUGUUGGAGGACUGGCUGUAGAUAACCUGUGUGAUGUUAUUUGUGGUUCUUUUUGAGGAAGGACUGUUUCGUCUUCAUCAGCCCAUGAGCCUUAUUUUAGACAAUGAAAAGCCCCAUUUUAAAGUGUAAAUGGGAUUUUUGAAGGUAGUUACUUUUGUCCAUGAACAUGUCAGGAAUGUAAAGCAAAUCCUUCUGAGGUGUCAGAGAAAUGUUAUAAUUUCCAGGUAAACUGAGCAUCUCAGUAAAGGCACUUCUGAUCACACUCAGCUCUCCAUUGUAUGCCAGACAAAAGAACAACAGAAUGGUUUGGGUUGGAAGGGACCUUAAAGAUCAUCUCGUGCAACCCUCCUGCCAUUGGCAGGGACAUCUCCCACUAGGCCAGGUUGCUCAAAUAAGCGUGAGAUGCUUGGUACUUUAAAGUCUUACCCGGGAUUUGAGAGAACUUACUCUUAUCCCUUCAUACAGAACAGGAGACCUUCUGGAUGGUGUUUUUCAAGACCCCCAAAGGAAGCGGUAGGAGGAGAAGCUUCUCCAUUGCAUCCAGAGGGCACCGUGUGUCCUGGCACCUGUGUUCCAAGGCAUCCCUACAUUACAAAUGGCUCAGCCAGCCUGCAACCAGCCACGUCUCACCAGCUCCUGGCAAUCUCACCUACAGAUGGAAAGCUGGCCUUCAACAGUACUUGAUUUCUGCUUGCUGUCUGCUGCUUCCUGUAAAGCUAGAUACACACUGAGGUAAGACUUGAAACCACAGAGUCUGUGGUUUACAUUGUGUUGACUUUUCCCAUCAGAAAAAUCUGUACUGUUAGAUAGCUUAUUGGUUUUGAAUUACAAAAUACACCAUUUCAGUAGUUAAUUAUGCUUCCAUGUUUUUUCCCCCCUGUAAGUGUAUUUCCUUUUUCUAAGCCUUACCAAUUCAAUUUCUCAUUUAUGUGGAUUUAACUCUGUUUAAAGGGAAGGAUGCAGUGUUUUAAAUAAUACACUCUUAGAGAGAAGAUGAACUGGAGUGCUGUGAUAUACUGGCAAGCUGAUUCACUGCCCGAGCUAUUCUCAGCACCAGCAUGGUCAGAGGCAUGGAGAGCAGAGGGGGGAGGUGAGGCAGAAGACAACUAUUACAAAGUAAUUUGGCCUGUGGAAAGUGAAAUGGCAGCAACUGUUAUCUGAUUGACUGCUGUGUGAAAAAGAGUUCAAGUCAGGCGACCGUGCUGCACAGAGCCUUUGCUGUCCAGCUCACAUCCACAAGCUCCAGGAACUCUGACCCUGAGCGUAGGCUGUGUGUUCCCAUAACGUCAGACGUCUAGUUCUGGGCUUGGGUUUUGAGGCUUGAAUGACUGUAUAAAGCUGCACACUGACUCUAUUUAUGCAACAUCUUAGCCAGGUCCCAGGCACUGGAGUUGUAAAUUACGUAUCACAUCAAGGCACGAGGGAAUAUUAAAGAAAGCAGGAUGGGUCUUGAGAAGUUUCCAUAUUCAUUUGUGUACUUCAGUCAAAUAUCUUAUGAUCUGUAACAUCACACUGGUAUAAAAACACUUCAGACUUCACAUCAUGCAUGGUUUGAAGUUAAUGCCUCUAAAAUGAAUGCUUUUUUUCUUGCAAAACUUAACCAUCCCCAUAGAGCAUAGUCUGAAUGGAGAAAGACAUAUUAAUCUACUUAUCAUUUACAUAAAUUUUGUACAUGCAAAAUUGGGACUCUGUGGAUUUGUUUCCGUACAUUUUUGUAAGUAAUUGAAUCCAUUAGCCUUCGCUAUGGAAUCUCACUAAUCUGUCCAUUGAUCCCUAUUAAGUAUUGAUGGUCACUUUGUGAGUAAGAAGUGUGAGAACAGUCUCUUGCCAUUCUUGUGUAAUUUUCACUCGAAGAAUCAUAAAAACUUAGUGGCAAACCAAAUCUCUAAAACACACACUAACACCACAAGACUAAGAUAUAAAAGCAAUUUAUUCAAAAAAAUGUGGUGGUGUCAAAUCACAUACACAAGCCAAUAUUGAGCUACAAACACAGACCAAACAGUUCUAUAAACAGAAAUUGGAGUGUUCAUAUACCAUAGUACCUGAAAAAGACUGUUAAUAAAAAGGAGUCCAUAAGUAUUUCA